CAGACUCAGGGAAAGCUUGUGUUUGGAUCAAAUGUAAACCGUGCUGCUAAAGAAACUGAAAAGGUAGCAGCAAAAGAGUCUAAACAAGAGCAGCCCCCAAAGAAAGAAGAGCCAAAAUUCCAGCCUUUUUCUGGGAAAAAGUACUCGUUGAGGGGUUGAUGGAUUUUCAAACAAUCAACUGCUUUAACUUCUUUUGUUAUCCUUCACCUGUACCUAUGUGGAUCAGGAAAUACAAUAGAAUUAUGUAUUUAACUGGGAUGUUUUAACUACGAGAAGGUGAAACAGUAGUAGGUUCUCAUGUUAAAUGAAGAAAUGAAAAAGAAACCUAUUUCAUUUGUUA